AAAGGUAGAUGGUGCAAGUGUUCAGUCAAGGUGGUGAUAAGCAGGAGUGUGGAGUGGCGGGAGAUCGCAGUCACUCUGAGACAGUGGUGCUGAGCAGACGUCACUCGAUUGGCUUGUGAUACAUACACACACCCAAAAUGGCGGAUCAGCUGACCGAAGAACAAAUUGCCGAAUUCAAGGAGGCCUUCUCCCUCUUCGACAAGGACGGCGACGGCACCAUCACCACCAAGGAAUUGGGCACAGUCAUGAGGUCCCUGGGCCAGAACCCCACCGAAGCCGAACUCCAGGACAUGAUCAACGAGGUGGACGCUGACGGUAAUGGCACAAUCGACUUCCCCGAGUUCCUCACCAUGAUGGCCCGCAAAAUGAAGGACACCGACUCCGAGGAAGAGAUCAGGGAAGCCUUCAGGGUGUUCGACAAGGACGGCAACGGCUUCAUCUCUGCGGCCGAACUCAGGCACGUGAUGACCAACCUCGGAGAGAAGCUGACUGACGAGGAAGUCGAUGAGAUGAUCAGGGAAGCCGAUAUUGACGGCGACGGUCAGGUCAAUUAUGAGGAAUUCGUGCGAAUGAUGACUUCUAAGUAGUGACGCCACCUGCGGCCCCUCCCCCCCCGUCGGGCCGUGGCUGGCCGACCCUAACCCUUAAUAAUAGCUAGUUCGUCACGAUGAUGACCUCGAAGUGAAGUGACCGCGCCUCCUAAAUAUUGUAAACAAAUUUCAAACGAACAGUUUUUUCUGCUUUCCAAUUUAUCUUGUUAACGGACCGCUAAAAAAAAAAAACAUUGUAAUACACGAGUCGUCACUAUCUCUUAAUUGCUAACUCUUAUUGCCUUCAUAUACACGAUCUGGCUCUCGGCUAGAGUUUCCAGCAGCAGUAUCAAGCAGCCACCACCACCACCACCACUACUUCUACGUCUGCUACUACUACUACUACUACUACUACUUCUACUAUAACAACUACUUCCACUAUUACUACUUCCACUACUAUUACUCCUCCUAUUGCUCUACUACUACUAUGACCACGGCCCCCCUCCCUCCCUCCCCCAUCGCCCCUCCUCCAGCCUAACCCACCCCGCCAGCAGAACACCAGCUACAACAAGAACAAAAAACCACUAAAACAGCAACAAGCAAGCAAGCAAGCAAGCAAGCAGCUGCAACCAACACCUUUGUCCAGCUGCAAGCAAGUUGGGGCGCGACUUACCUCUCGUCCACCUGCGAAAUGAAAUUCGAAGCCAAAACGGACAAGCAAAAACUACAAUAAGAUCGAAAGGGGAAAAAAUAAACAACAAAACUCUUAACACCAUCUUUGAGACAACCAUUGGGAAAAAAGAAAUUGAAAGAUCUCUUAAAAAAAAAAAAAAAAAAACGAUGGAAAAGAGCGUGCAAGUGUGGGGUGUGCGCCAGACGAGGGCACGGAGGAUGCUGACGGGACGUGGCUGAACCUUAUCCCCUGGCAGGAGUAAGUGACUCUCUGUCAGUAGCGGUAGCGCCGUUAUAGAUGGGUUGGUUGUCCUAGGGAUUGCGUCACGGGUGGCUGGACCUCUGGAAAGAAAAAGGAAAAAAAAUAUAUUGCUAUUUAACCAGUGAUUAUAUAUAUAUACUACACAUACGUUUAUGUAUACUAUAUGAAUAUAUACGCGAAGUAGCAAGCGAUUAUAUUUUGUGAUGAAAGGUUAGGGAGGCUUCGUGGACGUCGUCGUCAGACCCAGCGGGACUGCCUGCAAGAUCUUGACGCCAGCGCCGUUACACCGCCUCAAGGUGUGUUUCUCCCACGUAACCGUUCGGGCGGCCGAGGCGCGACCCCGUGCCUCUCCCGAAGCCGCCGCGGCGGCGCCAUCCGACUGUUGUGGUUGCUGCCGCGAGCCAGGCUCGGUUCGGCCGGCCGCCCCGGGUGACCUCUUCACUUCCUCCACCUUGACGUCGUGAGGGUCGCCAGGUCGCUGGUCACGCGAGUGGCCGUGACCGGUGACGUAACGCUGGUCGAGGCGCCGUUGGGUACUGUCGCUGCGAAGACCUCUCGCCGUUAUCUCCUCCAUCAUUGUUGAACAACAGGAAGACUUUUUGAACACCGAGAGGCCAGCCACCCUUAACUCGUCUCUCAAGACUACUUGGCUCUUUCCUUAAGUUUUCAUUUUGUCUGUCCAGUUCUGAAUAAGAAUGGAAAUAUAUAUAUAAAAAAUAGGUUGGUCAGUUUUUACAAGCUGUUGUAGCAAAAUUAUUAUUUUUUAGUUGAGAGAACCAUUGCGUUCGUGAAAUAUAUUUGAUAAGAGGAUAGUAUCCCGUCUGGCCAAUGGUCAGGCUGGGUUACUUUGGACCUUUUUUGAAAUUCCUCUUAGAAUUUUUUUCUUUUUAAUGAAGAUCGCUGCCUUGCGAUGCCUUUUUUAUUUUUAGUUUGUCUGGAAGUCAGUUUCUCUGGUAAAUAAGAAAGGAAGGAGAGGGUGCGCUGUAUUUUUGUGUUGGUUGAAUGAAGUUGGUACAUUUCCGUAUCAUGUAAUUUCUUGUUAGGUGUGUCUUUGUCAAUUUUUCUUAAAGGAAUAGCAAAUGUAUACAUAUUGCAAAAAACAAAAAUGAAGUUGAAAAAAUUUCCUCUUGUACUACAUAAUACUAAUGUAAGGCACGUCACACAACCAUGACUGUUUCUGUUUCCCAACCACCACUUCCCUGCAUUGUUUACAUCACUUGUUUGUUAACAUUGCCGCUUUGUGCAAAGGCUCUGUUGCCUCUGCCAGCGAGCUUGACCACUUAUACUAUGAUUACGAUAGACCAUGCUGAUUAAAUAAUGGAUAUUAUGAUUAUAAUUAUUAUUGUGUAGGAGAAAUACAGUUCUUUCAAAACCAAGUUUUUUUCGUCUUUCUUACAACAUGUCAUGUAAAGAAAGUCUUUUUUUUUUUCUUUCAAUUCUUUCUUGCCAUGCUUAUCAGGGUCUCAACAGUUGACGGCGGAUUGUAGUUAAGCUUCUAAUUUUUGUUCUUGUCAAAGCCCAUUGGGGUGCAGCGCCCAGGGUGGUCACCAUGGCAACCACGCCCGCCUCCCAAUCACCCGGUCCUGGCUCCGCCCACCACCUUGGAGUGUGGGCGGGCGCUAGCAGGAUGGGUUGGGUGUGGGGUGGGCGUGCGGCGCCGGGUACCCACCCUGCUUGGCUAUUUUAGAUUCAUUUGGGGGAAUCCUUCUAUUGCUGGUGCGUUGGUGUAGUUACGUUGUGUAUCUCGACCCAGACACUGCGACACUCGACACAACUACACAACGUGAUGAACAUUCCUUUAAAACUUGCUAUGUUUUUUGCGGGGCGAGAGGACCCCGCCGUGGGUUUGGUGGGGCUCCUCGCGCCCACCACUCUUGUUUUAGUGUGGUACGAUAGGUGAGCGGAGACCUGCGGGGAGGGGGCGUGGAGGCACUCGCCGGUCUGCCCCCCUGGGCGUGCGUGCGUGUGUUCGUGCGUUCGUUCCUGGGGCGGGUGGUGGUGGCACUUGCCGGCGCCCCCCCCUCCCAGCCCUGCUCUAGGGGGGGCGGGGGAAGAGGGCGGGUGGCAGGGGGGCCCAGGGUGGAGGGGGGAGGCGUGGCGGGUGUGGGGGGGAGUGUGGGGGGAGAGGGAAGUGGUAAAUACGACCGAAAAAAAGGCUGCACGAGGCCGUAGUCAAGUUUACCACACCCUCUCCCACGCCUUCCUCCCGCUCCCCCCGCCCCUCCGCCCCGCGCCCCUGGCCCCCCUCGCUAGCCCCCUCCUUCCCCUCCCCUCUAAUGAGCGGGUUCGGGUAUGCAGUGGGUGUCCCUCCCCUCCCCGCCAGGCCCCGUACCCCCACCCCCUCAGCUAGUGAGACCCGGUACCGCAGAGCGUCCCCGCACUACCAUCACCACUAUAACACCAGCAGCAGCAGCAGCAGCAGUUGUUGCUCCUGUUGUCUCCGGGGUGUGGGCGGCGAGGGGCAGCUGUGCCGCCCGGCCGCCCCGUACCGCCCCAUCCACCCAUCACUGCACCAUUUAAAAAAAAGAAAAGAAAAAGGAAAAAAAAGUGUUAAUUAAUAUUAUUAGUUUUUGUCAUGUUUGGGCCCCCUUUUUUUAUAUAAACAUAUUUGACUUGUGAGCCUGUUUCCUCCUCCCGGCCGCUGGUGCCGCGUGCGCUGUGCCACCGCCGCGGCAGUAGCAAGUUGCCGCAGCUCCCGACAAGCCCAUUCGCUCUUUUCAAACAUUGCCGCAUUCGAGCUAAGGUUUCCUGGUGAAGGUGCAGGAGGGGCGGGCCGGAGCCCCAGCAGCCACCUUUAGCCUCCACCAGCCAGGCCCCUCCCCGUCCUUCGCCCCGCCCUCCGCCCCGCCCUCGGCCUAAGCCCCUCCCCCUGGCACCCACACGUGGCUCUGGGGGCGCUGGCCUCGGGCGGCGGACGGUGGUGGUGGUGGUGGUGGGCGGGUGGGCGGUGGGUGGGGUCGCACUAGUAUUGUUGGUAGUGGGUGUGGGUGGCGGGGGCGGGGGAGCCGCUGCGGAUGCUUCACCCCACCACCAGGACUCCAUUAGUAAUUUGAGGACCGGAUGUCAUGUUGUAUUGAAUAAAAAAGAUCAAGAAAGA
rnacentral:misc_RNA from 1 species